UUUGGUGAGCAGGAAUAUCAGUUACCCCUCCAGAUCUUAAUUCUAGUUUUUUAUCACUUUUUCAUGAGGUGAUCUCAUCCUCAUCUCCUAGCAUGUCUGGCAAUUUUGAUUUCUGAACUCUGUGCUACCUCAGAGGCCAGCUUCCUUAGGGAAAAAUCAGUGCUGAAAUAGUUAUAUUUCCUUUUCUGCUCUAAAUAUAUAGUGGGGGAAUAAGAGAAAUGAAGAGGAAUUCCUGAGAACGUAAUUACUAGAAACUCCCCUCUCCCACGUAAUGCCUCUCACACACCAUGGACACCUAUUCCCCCAAUUUGCGACCCCCCACCCCACCCCACAACAGGUGGUGAUCUUUGUGAAGUCUGUGCAGCGGUGCAUUGCCUUGGCCCAGCUACUAGUGGAGCAGAACUUCCCAGCCAUUGCCAUCCACCGUGGGAUGCCGCAGGAGGAGAGGCUUUCUCGGUAUCAGCAGUUUAAAGAUUUUCAACGACGAAUUCUUGUGGCUACCAACCUAUUUGGCCGAGGCAUGGACAUCGAGCGGGUGAACAUUGCUUUUAAUUAUGACAUGCCUGAGGAUUCUGACACCUACCUGCAUCGGGUGGCCAGAGCAGGCCGGUUUGGCACCAAGGGCUUGGCUAUCACAUUUGUGUCCGAUGAGAAUGAUGCCAAGAUCCUCAAUGAUGUGCAGGAUCGCUUUGAGGUCAAUAUUAGUGAGCUGCCUGAUGAGAUAGACAUCUCCUCCUACAUUGAACAGACACGGUAGAAGACUCGCCCAUUUUGGAAUGUGACCGUCUGUCCUUCAGGAGAGGACACCAGGGUGGGGGUGAAGGAGACACUACUGCCCCCACCCCUGACAGCCCCCACCCCAUGGCUUCCAUCUUUUGCAUCACCACCACUCCUGAACCCCCAUUUCUGAUUUGUCAGAAUUUUUUUUUAACAAAACUAAAAAUGAAACACAUGUGUCUGUGGUAUCUAUAA
rnacentral:sRNA from 1 species